UACAGAGGUCUCAAGCGUUGUUCGGAUUCAUUGGGCGUAAAGGGCGCGUAGGCGGCGGGGUAAGUCGGGUGUGAAAUCUCAGAGCUCAACUCUGAAAUGGCACUUGAUACUGCUCUGCUAGAGGACUGGAGAGGAGAUUGGAAUUCACGGUGUAGCAGUGAAAUGCGUAGAUAUCGUGAGGAAGACCAGUGGCGAAGGCGGGUCUCUGGACAGUUCCUGACGCUGAGGCACGAAGGUCAGGGGAGCAAACGGG
rnacentral:rRNA from 1 species